GACGAACGCUGGCGGCGUGCUUAACACAUGCAAGUCGAACGGAAAGGCCCUUCGGGGUACUCGAGUGGCGAACGGGUGAGUAACACGUGGGUGAUCUGCCCUGCACUUUGGGAUAAGCCUGGGAAACUGGGUCUAAUACCGAAUAGGACCACGCGCUUCAUGGUGUGUGGUGGAAAGCUUUUGCGGUGUGGGAUGGGCCCGCGGCCUAUCAGCUUGUUGGUGGGGUAAUGGCCUACCAAGGCGACGACGGGUAGCCGGCCUGAGAGGGUGACCGGCCUCACUGGGACUGAGAUACGGCCCAGACUCCUACGGGAGGCAGCAGUGGGGAAUAUUGCACAAUGGGCGCAAGCCUGAUGCAGCGACGCCGCGUGAGGGAUGACGGCCUUCGGGUUGUAAACCUCUUUCACCAGGGACGAAGCGUAAGUGACGGUACCUGGAGAAGAAGCACCGGCCAACUACGUG
rnacentral:rRNA from 1 species